rnacentral:rRNA from 1 species
AACGCGAAGAACCUUACCUGGUCUUGACAUAUCUAGAAUCCUGCAGAGAUGCGGGAGUGCCUUCGGGAAUUAGAAUACAGGUGCUGCAUGGCUGUCGUCAGCUCGUGUCGUGAGAUGUUGGGUUAAGUCCCGCAACGAGCGCAACCCUUGUCCUUAGUUACCAGCGGGUUAAGCCGGGAACUCUAAGGAUACUGCCAGUGACAAACUGGAGGAAGGCGGGGACGACGUCAAGUCAUCAUGGCCCUUACGACCAGGGCUACACACGUGCUACAAUGGUAGGUACAGAGGGCAGCUACACAGCGAUGUGAUGCGAAUCUCAAAAAGCCUAUCGUAGUCCAGAUUGGAGUCUGCAACUCGACUCCAUGAAGUAGGAAUCGCUAGUAAUCGCGGAUCAGAAUGCCGCGGUGAAUACGUUCCCGGGCCUUGUACACACCG